rnacentral:ncRNA from 2 species
GUCUUGAAGCGGGGGUGCCCGGUCGAACGGCCGGGCUGAGAGAGUCCCUUGGAACCUGAUCCGGUUCGCACCGGCGUAGGGAGCUUGCAGCAACCAUGA